rnacentral:rRNA from 1 species
AGUGGGGAAUCUUGGACAAUGGGCGCAAGCCUGAUCCAGCGACGCCGCGUGGGUGAUGAAGGCCUUCGGGUUGUAAAGCCCUUUCACCGGGGACGAUGAUGACGGUACCCGGCGAAGAAGCACCGGCUAACUCCGUGCCAGCAGCCGCGGUAAGACGGAGGGUGCUAGCGUUGUUCGGAAUCACUGGGCGUAAAGGGCGCGUAGGCGGCUGUGGCAGUCGGGUGUGAAAGCCCGGAGCUCAACUCCGGAACGGCACUCGAGACGCCAUGGCUGGAGGCCGGAAGAGGAGGGUGGAAUACCCAGUGUAGAGGUGAAAUUCGUAGAUAUUGGGUGGAACACCGGUGGCGAAAGCGGCUCUCUGGUCCGGACCUGACGCUGAGGCGCGAAAGCGUGGGGAGCAAA